AUGGUUCUAAGGAACAAUGAGGGAGCAAUCCUAUUUGGAGCUUAUCGUUUUAUUUUCCACUGCAAUGACUCGUUGGAGGCGGAACUGCAUGUGUUAAUGCAAGGAAUGGCGUUGGCCAUACAACAUUCGGACCUCCCGGUGGUGGUGCAGUCGGAUUCCUCUGAAGCUUUAUCAAGCAUGUCUAAUAGUGCGCUUUGUAGGUCAGCUUAUGGCCACUUAGUCUUGGAAAUCAAGGACUUGUUAGGUACUAGGGAGUUUUUUCCUCUGGAAAUUAGCUGUUCUUAAAAUAGAGUUGCCGAUCGGCUGGCCAGUUAUAGCCGCACUGAGCGAACUACUGCUGUGUGGUUGGGCUUAGUAGCACCGUGUAUUGAGGAUUUAUGGCCUCAAGACUGUAACUCUAUAAUCUUGCAAUAA
rnacentral:rRNA from 1 species